UGGUAGAUGCACCCUGAUUAAUUAACUCCCGACCAAUUUUGGUUCGGGGUUUUUUUU
rnacentral:sRNA from 20 species